rnacentral:rRNA from 1 species
GACGAACGCUGGCGGCGUGCCUAAUACAUGCAAGUUGAGCGCUGAAGGUUGGUACUUGUACCGACUGGAUGAGCAGCGAACGGGUGAGUAACGCGUGGGGAAUCUGCCUUUGAGCGGGGGACAACAUUUGGAAACGAAUGCUAAUACCGCAUAAUAACUUUAACCACAAGUUUUAAGUUUGAAAGAUGCAAUUGCAUCACUCAAAGAUGAUCCCGCGUUGUAUUAGCUAGUUGGUGAGGUAAAGGCUCACCAAGGCGAUGAUACAUAGCCGACCUGAGAGGGGGAUCGGCCACAUUGGGACUGAGACACGGCCCAAACUCCUACGGGAGGCAGCAGGAGGGAAUCUUCGGCAAUGGACGAAAGUCUGACCGAGCAACGCCGCGGGAGGGAAGAAGGGUGUCGGAUCGGAAAAAUCUGUUGGUAGGGAAGAACGUUGGUGAGAGUGGAAAGCUCAUCAAGUGACGGUAACUACCCAGAAAGGGACGGCUAACUACGUG